rnacentral:rRNA from 1 species
GACGAACGCUGGCGGCGUGCCUAAUACAUGCAAGUUGAGCGCUGAAGGUUGGUACUUGUACCAACUGGAUGAGCAGCGAACGGGUGAGUAACGCGUGGGGAAUCUGCCUUUGAGCGGGGGACAACAUUUGGAAACGAAUGCUAAUACCGCAUAAAAACUUUAAACACAAGUUUUAAGUUUGAAAGAUGCAAUUGCAUCACUCAAAGAUGAUCCCGCGUUGUAUUAGCUAGUUGGUGAGGUAAAGGCUCACCAAGGCGAUGAUACAUAGCCGACCUGAGAGGGUGGUCGGCCACAUUGGGACUGAGACACGGCCCAAACUCCUACGGGAGGCAGCAGUAGGGAAUCUUCGGCAAUGGACGAAAGUCUGACCGAGCAACGCCGCGUGAGUGAAGAAGGUUUUCGGAUCGUAAAACUCUGUUGGUAGAGAAGAACGUUGGUGAGAGUGGAAAGCUCAUCAAGUGACGGUAACUACACAGAAAGGGACGGCUAACUACGUG